GGCCACGUUCAUUACCAGAAUUUACCAGAAUCAGGGUGACGGGGUUGGAAUCACAGAGCGGGAUGCUGGGAGGCUCCAGGCCGGCCAGAGAUUGUGUAACUGUGCUUUCUGGAGCCCAGCCAGGCCGCAAAACAAACAGAAGGGCUGGAAGCAGAAACCUCACAAAAACUGCCCGCAGAAACCAGCGAUUUAGGCAAUCGAGGAGUUUUUCUUUCGCUGUUUAUUAUAAAUCACCAGUGGUAAUUAAGCGCCCAUCAGAGCGGCUUGCUGGCUGGACAUCUCAGACCAGAUCGCCUCCUCUUAAGAUGUAGGGGGUCCUGUAAGUGCCGGUUCAAAUGGACCACCCUGUAUGGAGUCACACAGACGAGCAUCACGGAACUGCCUUUGGUGAGGAGAACAAAGAGCACCUUUCCGCGGGGUUCUAGAAUGCGAGAGCUCGGAGGUGAGGAGUGUGCUGGAAAGAGGGCAGAUCCACACGGGGGAAGCAGUGGGCACCACCCGCCCUGGUCCCCACCCGUCCUGCUCGGGUCUCCUCGGUGCAGCAUCCGGGCGCAGAGCCAGGCCGCCCGGGAGUGGGUGGACAGAGUCUGGGAGACAGCCAUCCGGGAGGCUGAGUUCUCGGCGGGCCUGACACCUAGAGAUGCUGAUCCACGGCGCAGGCAGGACACGGAGCAGAGAAGGUGAUGUGGGCGCCACUCUGGUCUGGAACAAGAAGAGUGUGGGGAACUGAUAUGGAAACACCUGACAUCCCAGCAAAGGAAGUCGCAGAGGAAGCCUCUGGAUUGAUAAUGAGGAAGGCCCCUAACCCCGCAGCCACUGUGUUUUUCUAGCACGCUCCUGGCACAUGGAUUAUGGACUCCCCCCAGGUGAACAGUGUGGACGCAGACACAUCAGGAGAGCUGCUGAUGUCAGAACACAGACCAGUACUCUCCAGCUGACCAUUCACAAACCUUCAUUGCAAACGAGAGCCCCAAAAUAGUAAAGCUCCCUGGGGUGGCUGUUUACAAAAAAA